rnacentral:rRNA from 1 species
ACUCGCCUACAUGAAGCUGGAAUUGCUAGUAAUCACAGGUCAGCAUACUGUGGUGAAUACGUUCCCGGGCCUUGUACACACCGCCCGUCACACCAUGAGAGUUGAGAAUACCCGAAGUCCAUGUCAAAGUGGCCGAAGGUAGGCUUGAUGAUUGGGGUGAAGUCGUAACAAGGUAAC